rnacentral:rRNA from 1 species
UACGAAGGGGGCUAGCGUUGUUCGGAAUUACUGGGCGUAAAGCGCACGUAGGCGGAUAUUUAAGUCAGGGGUGAAAUCCCGGGGCUCAACCCCGGAACUGCCUUUGAUACUGGGUAUCUAGAGUCCAGAAGAGGUGAGUGGAAUUCCGAGUGUAGAGGUGAAAUUCGUAGAUAUUGGGAAGAACACCGGUGGCGAAGGCGGCGACCUGGUCUGAUACUGACGCUGAGGCGCGACAGCGUGGGGAGCAAACAGG